rnacentral:rRNA from 1 species
GACGAACGCUGGCGGCGUGCUUAACACAUGCAAGUCGAACGGAAAGGCCCUGCUUUUGUGGGGUGCUCGAAUGGCGAACGGGUGAGUAACACGUGAGUAACCUGCCCUUGACUUUGGGAUAACUUCAGGAAACUGGGGCUAAUACCGGAUAGGAGCUCCUGCUGCAUGGUGGGGGUUGGAAAGUUUCGGCGGUUGGGGAUGGACUCGCGGCUUAUCAGCUUGUUGGUGGGGUAGUGGCUUACCAAGGCUUUGACGGGCAGCCGGCCUGAGAGGGUGACCGGCCACAUUGGGACUGAGAUACGGCCCAGACUCCUACGGGAGGCAGCAGUGGGGAAUAUUGCACAAUGGGCGGAAGCCUGAUGCAGCAACGCCGCGUGCGGGAUGACGGCCUUCGGGUUGUAAACCGCUUUCGCCUGUGACGAAGCGUGAGUGACGGUAAUGGGUAAAGAAGCACCGGCUAACUACGUG